GGAAUGGGAAUUGAGGAAGAGGAGGAAAAGGGAAUUGAGGCAAAGGAGGCCAAGGGAUUCCAUAGAAUGGUGGAAAGUAUGGGAGAAAAAACUUGGAGGAAUUGAAAGAACUUGCCAAUUCCUCCUCCUUCCUAUUUCCACAUAGGGUAAGAUUCUUCUUUGGUGGCCUGUAACUCAGAGCAUUCAUGCUGUAAAUACAGAUGUUAUCUUGUUUUGACUUGACAGAAAUCUCAUCUGCUGUGGUUCUUAAACCAGGAACAUUGCAACUUUUGGAUGAGCUCCCUAUCAAACUUGCUUGGCACAUUGACUUAAUUGACACACCACUUAAGCAGUUUACCCCAUCAACUGAAGGUAUUUCCAGCUUGUACACCCCAUACUUGUUUGUGGUUUUAUUCACUGAGAAAUUCAUAUCCUCUGAGGCUUUGGUUGAGCUCCCUCUGAACUUGCAUUGUAUCACAACAUCCACACCUGGUAAUAAAAUUGUUUUGUAAAACGUUAUACUACAUUCUUGAAUCUUACAAAUGCGAAAAACUUUCCACUUUGCAAAACAAACUUUCAAAAAGUUGUUGUGCAAAACGUUACCCUUAACUACAUAUUUUGCUACUGGUGACUAUGAAUGAGUUGAGUACCUGGGAGAAAGUAGCUGCUUCUGGAAAAUGUGUUGCUUGAACAAGUAUCACAGUAAACCGCUCCUA
rnacentral:lncRNA from 1 species